rnacentral:rRNA from 1 species
CCCUUUGGAAAGGAAUAGCCUCGGGAAACUGGGAGUAAUGCCUUAUAAGAUACGUUUGUCGCAUGGCAUUUGUAUUAAACGCUCCGGCGCCAUAGGAUGGACCCGCGUCCCAUUAGCUAGUUGGUGAGAUAACAGCUCACCAAGGCCACGAUGGGUAACCGGUCUGAGAGGGCGAACGGUCACACUGGAACUGAGACACGGUCCAGACUCCUACGGGAGGCAGCAGUGGGGAAUAUUGCGCAAUGGGGGCAACCCUGACGCAGCAAUACCGCGUGAGUGAAGAAGGUUUUCGGAUCGUAAAGCUCUGUUAUUGGGGAAGAAAAAAAGACGGUACCCAAGAAGAAAGUUCCGGCUAACUACGUGCCAGCAGCCGCGGUAAUACGUAGGGAACAAGCGUUGUCCGGAUUUACUGGGCGUAAAGGGCACGCAGGCGGUUUUUUAAGUCAGAUGUGAAAGGCCACAGCUCAACUGUGGACAUGCAUUUGAAACUGAAAGACUUGAGUAUUGGAGAGGCAAGUGGAAUUCCUAGUGUAGCGGUGAAAUGCGUAGAUAUUAGGAGGAACACCGGUGGCGAAGGCGGC